rnacentral:rRNA from 1 species
UAGGUUAACGAGGCGAACCGGGGGAACUGAAACAUCUAAGUACCCCGAGGAAAAGAAAUCAACCGAGAUUCCCCCAGUAGCGGCGAGCGAACGGGGAGCAGCCCAGAGUCUGAAUCAGCUUGUGUGUUAGUGGAACGGUCUGGAAAGUCCGACGGUACAGGGUGAUAGUCCCGUACACCAAAAUGCACAGGCUGUGAACUCGAAGAGUAGGGCGGGACACGUGGUAUCCUGUCUGAAUAUGGGGGGACCAUCCUCCAAGGCUAAAUACUCCUGACUGACCGAUAGUGAACCAGUACCGUGAGGGAAAGGCGAAAAGAACCCCGGCGAGGGGAGUGAAAAAGAACCUGAAACCGUGUACGUACAAGCAGUGGGAGCACCUUCGGGUGUGACUGCGUACCUUUUGUAUAAUGGGUCAGCGACUUAUAUUCUGUAGCAAGGUUAACCGUAUAGGGGAGCCGCAGGGAAACCGAGUCUUAACUGGGCGUUAAGUUGCAGGGUAUAGACCCGAAACCCGGUGAUCUAGCCAUGGGCAGGUUGAAGGUUGGGUAACACUAACUGGAGGACCGAACCGACUAAUGUUGAAAAAUUAGCGGAUGACUUGUGGCUGGGGGUGAAAGGCCAAUCAAACCGGGAGAUAGCUGGUUCUCCCCGAAAGCUAUUUAGGUAGCGCCUCGUGAAUUCAUCUUCGGGGGUAGAGCACUGUUUCGGCUAGGGGGUCAUCCCGACUUACCAACCCGAUGCAAACUACGAAUACCGAAGAAUGUUAUCACGGGAGACACACGGCGGGUGCUAACGUCCGUCGUGAAGAGGGAAACAACCCAGACCGCCAGCUAAGGUCCCAAAGUCAUGGUUAAGUGGGAAACGAUGUGGGAAGGCACAGACAGCCAGGAUGUUGGCUUAGAAGCAGCCAUCAUUUAAAGAAAGCGUAAUAGCUCACUGGUCGAGUCGGCCUGCGCGGAAGAUGUAACGGGGCUAAACCAUGCACCGAAGCUGCGGCAGCGACACUAUGUGUUGUUGGGUAGGGGAGCGUUCUGUAAGCCUGCGAAGGUGACCUGUGAGGG